rnacentral:lncRNA from 1 species
GUUCUCUCACCAACACUGGACGUAACUGUUUCUGAAGUCUUUUCUUUUGCAGAUGUUUGUUUGAAUGCAUUCUCUCUUGCUUAAAGUGAAUUUUGUUCAGAUUUUGUGCAAAUAUUCGACAAUUAGGUAUUCAGGUUGCUUCAUAUUUUUAAUUAUUUAAUUGAUUUUGCACCGAAAUAUUGAUUACUUGUGUUUGAUUGUCAAUAGUCAAAUCCAUAGUCAAUAGUCAAUGGUUAAGCUUUAUUUAUACUCCAUUUUUUGAAAACUUUAGAUUCUGAAGGUGUAGAUCUGUAGAAAUUAUAGUCUAAAGUUGUAGGU